rnacentral:rRNA from 1 species
AACCAGCACCUCAAGUGGUCAGGAGGAUUAUUGGGCCUAAAGCAUCCGUAGCCGGCUCUGUAAGUUUUCGGUUAAAUCCAUGUGCUCAACGCAUGGGCUGCCGAAAAUACUGCAUAGCUAGGGAGUGGGAGAGGUAGACGGUACUCGGUGGGAAGGGGUAAAAUCCUUUGAUCUAUCGAUGACCACCUGUGGCGAAGGCGGUCUACCAGAACACGUUCGACGGUGAGGGAUGAAAGCUGGGGGAGCAAACCGG